ensembl:lncRNA LINC03112 long intergenic non-protein coding RNA 3112
GGAGGUGGCUCGGGCCGCGCCGAGGGGACCACGGGACGCCCUCCUUCCCUUCUCAGGAAACUGGUAUAACAGAAGUCCGGGCCACAUGCCGUAAAACAGCUGGCAGACAGAUCUCAGAGUCUCUGUGCUACAGGAACAUGGAGGAAGAACCCAGGUGGGCUUGGGAGGAGAUGUUUAAGGCAUCGUGAUGCUUGGUGUAGCCCUGAAGGUCAAGAUACAGUUAUCCAGAUAACGCUAAGCAUCCCCCGUGUUGGAGAUGAGGCCUGGUGGGAGGUGUUUCCGUCACAGGAACAGAUUCCUCAUGAAUGACUUGGUGCCAUCCUCAUGGGCCCCUAAAGUGAUGGAGUGGCUGUGGAGUCUUCAGUUUGCCUGCAUGCCAGGUGCAAGCCAAGGAGUUGUAAGAGCAUCCCCCUCAUAAGCUACCAGUAGGCCAGGACUCCAGUGUGGAGGGAUGGAUCUCUGAAGGUCACAGCUUGGCCCUUCUCUGAAGAACGUCCACCAGCAUGUCAGCCCAGCUGCACUGCAGGAGUGAAGGGUGAGAUGACUGUCAAUAAGGAUAAAGGCCAUCUUCCCCACCCGUCACUCAUCCUGCCAAGCCAUCACUGGGUAACCAGGACUCAUGGGCAGUGUCACCUCUGGGGCCAUGCUGGCAUCUGUAACCUCCAUCCAUCCUUGUGGUCCCAUCCAGCCAUCUCUGCCCCCUUGCCUGGCCCAUUCUGUUGUGAAGUUUUCGUCCACCUUGCUCUUGUGCAGAGUCGGAAUUCACAGGGGUUCCAAUGCCCAAGGGAAGCCCAUUGGAACUGUUUACUCUUAUUACUGGCUAGAGACGUCCACAGGACAAAUCAGCUUCAGAUUAUACCAUCGUUAGAGUAGGUGCAACUGGGGGGCUUGCCCUACUUAACUCUCCAAUGCAAUCCAUGCUGCCAGCUUCAUACAGACUCCAUCCAGUGCAAAUGGCUUCCUUCUGUGUGCAGAGCAAAUGCUCCAGGGAAGAGAUACAGAGGAUUCCCCAUCAUCAUUGUUGCCAAGUGACCCCAAAUAUUCCUAUCCUGUCUGUUGUAAAAAGGAAAAAUCAUGUCUUGGAAGAACAGCAUCGCCCUACAGAUACAGACUAGGCACUUUGCACAUGAAACAAGAGUCCCAGAAAUUUCUAGAAGCAAAUCUCGCAUUCGUGACCGCCAGACCUACGGGAUGUGUAAGGCACAUUCUCAAUCUCAUCACUUGUGAGAGUUGCAUUGCCUAGUCCAGCAGCCGUGAAGGACUCUCUGCUGUUUUUCCUCUGCUUCAUUUGACACAUGAGAGAGAAGAGAUGAAGAUGGAGGCGGGCCCUGCCCCGGGGACAUGUAUAUCUCUCUGAAUGUCCUUGACAGACAGCAGCAGCCCAGCAAUGCCCAGCCCCCAUCCUGUCUGUAUGCACCCUGGUGAGCAUUUUCUACAGUCUCCUAAACGCUCCCAUUAUUCUGUUUUGCAGGUGUGAUGUGUGGCACCUCAGUGUUGUCAUAGCUUCUGCCUCCUCCGUGUGGAGAGAGGGCAUAAAGACAGAGCUGAGAUAUUAUGGCUAUUCCAGAAAAUAAAAUAUUUUUUGAAACCA